rnacentral:rRNA from 1 species
AACAAACGCUGGCGGCGUGCCUAAUACAUGCAAGUCGAACGGGGAAAGUAGCAAUAUGAGUACUAGUGGCGCACGGGUGAGUAAUACGUGGAUAAUCUGCCUUCAAGUGGGGGAUAACUAGUCGAAAGAUUAGCUAAUACCGCAUAAGACCACAGGAUCUGAGGAUCUAGGGGUUAAAGGUUUUUCGCUUGAAGAUGAGUCCGCGUGAGAUUAGCUAGUUGGUGAGGUAAUGGCUCACCAAGGCAACGAUCUCUAACUGGUCUGAGAGGAUGAUCAGUCACACUGGAACUGAGACACGGUCCAGACUCCUACGGGAGGCAGCAGUAGGGAAUAUUGCACAAUGGAGGAAACUCUGAUGCAGCGACGCCGCGUGAGUGAUGAAGGCCUUCGGGUCGUAAAGCUCUGUCGCAGGGGAAUAACACAAUGAAUGUACCCUGCAAGAAAGGAUCGGCUAACUUCGUGCCAGCAGCCGCGGUAAGACGAGGGAUCCUAGCGUUGUUCGGAAUUAUUGGGCGUAAAGCGGGUGUAGGUGGCUUUGUAAGUUAGAUGUGAAAGCCCCGGGCUCAACCUGGGAAUUGCAUUUAAAACUGUCCAGCUAGAGUCUUGUAGAGGGGGGUAGAAUUCCAGGUGUAGCGGUGAAAUGCGUAGAGAUCUGGAGGAAUACCGGUGGCGAAGGCGGCCCCCUGGACAAAGACUGACGCUCAGGUGCGAAAGCGUGGGGAGCAAACAGGAUUAGAUACCCUGGUAGUCCACGCCCUAAACGAUGUCAACUGGUUGUUGGACGGCUUGCUGUUCAGUAACGAAGCUAACGCGUGAAGUUGACCGCCUGGGGAGUACGGCCGCAAGGUUG